rnacentral:rRNA from 1 species
UACGAAGGGGGCUAGCGUUGCUCGGAAUCACUGGGCGUAAAGCGCACGUAGGCGGCUUUUUAAGUCAGGGGUGAAAUCCUGGAGCUCAACUCCAGAACUGCCUUUGAUACUGAGAAGCUUGAGUCCGGGAGAGGUGAGUGGAACUGCGAGUGUAGAGGUGAAAUUCGUAGAUAUUCGCAAGAACACCAGUGGCGAAGGCGGCUCACUGGCCCGGUACUGACGCUGAAGUGCGAAAGCGUGGGGAGCAAACAGG